rnacentral:snRNA from 1 species
UUGCUCACUUCAGCAGCACAUACAAUAAAAUUUGAAUACAGAGAAGAUUAGCAUGGCCCCUGUGCAAGGAUGGCAUGCAAAUUGUGAAAUAAAGAGGGCGAGAGAGAGACUUGUUU